rnacentral:rRNA from 1 species
UACGGGGGGAGCAAGCGUUGUUCGGAUUUACUGGCGUAAAGGGCGCGUAGGCGGUCAGCACAAGUCAGUUGUGAAAUCUCCGGGCUUAACUCGGAAAGGUCAACUGAUACUGUGCGACUAGAGUGCGGAAGGGGCAACUGGAAUUCUCAGUGUAGCGGUGAAAUGCGUAGAUAUUGGGAAGAACACCAGUGGCGAAAGCGGACUUCUGGGCUAUUACUGACGCUGAGGUACGAAAGUGUGGGGAGCAAACGGG